rnacentral:rRNA from 1 species
UGCGCAGGCGGUGCGCCAAGACGGAUGUGAAAUCCCCGGGCUUAACCUGGGAACUGCAUUCGUGACUGGCGCGCUGGAGUAUGGCAGAGGGGGGUGGAAUUCCACGUGUAGCAGUGAAAUGCGUAGAGAUGUGGAGGAAUACCGAUGGCGAAGGCAGCCCCCUGGGUCAAUACUGACGCUCAUGCACGAAAGCGUGGGGAGCAAACAGGAUUAGAUACCCUGGUAGUCCACGCCCUAAACGAUGUCAACUGGUUGUUGGGGAUUCAUUUCCCUGGUAACGUAGCUAACGCGUGAAGUUGACCGCCUGGGGAGUACGGUCGCAAGAUUAAA